rnacentral:lncRNA from 1 species
GGUGACAUCACAGAGCAAAACCAGGAGCCUGGUAACUGUGGGCAGCCCAGGGGCCUCUCAGGCCAGGGCCAGCUGGAGGGCUCAGCACUGCCCAAGCCAACUCUCACCAACAGCAGGGGUACAGCGCACCAGGUUCAGUUUCAAAUCAUGAAACGCCACUUUGAAGUCCCUCGGAGAGAAGACUCCUCGACUGAUGUGACCACCCUCAGUGUGACCAGCCCCGAGUCCAUGGAGAGCAGUCUGAAAAUGUGCUGGCCAGGAACCACCGAGGGACCGGCGCUGGCUGGCGAGGACCGCCAGUCCCCGAGGACACAUUGGCACUUCUCACUGGGCUGGAGCCCCUCCUCACCCUCGUCCGAAUCCUCGUCCUCUUAUCGCUCCUACUCUCAGCGCCCUUCCUACCGCUUGGGUCCGCGUGGGGACCCGGACCCUGGCCCGCGGAGUGUGCCCGCGCUGUACACCCGCGUGCAGACAGUGCGCGGCGUGGCCGUGGCCUGGGAGACUGAGGCGGGCUUCGCUCCGGUCAGCAGCCGGCCGCGCGUUCGCGAGGCACAGUUCCUCAACCGGCAGCGGUGGCGGGGCUCCUCCUUCGAGGUGGCCUCCAAUACAGACCUGCGCGGGGACCUGGAAGUCUGCGGCGGCGAGCGUGAAGCGGAACCCGAGGAGGACUCGGGGCGAGAGGACGAUGAGCUGGAGCAGGAGCCGCGCGCUCCGCCGGACUCCCUGGUCACCACCAGACACGGGCUGCGCUGGCUGUGUCGCCUGUUGCCGCGUCUUCCCAUCGCUGCCUGCCCUCCUGGAGCACGCGCAGCACGGCGUCCGCGAGGGCUGCAGCUGCCAGAUCUUUUUCGAGGAGAUGCUGGAGAAGGGGCUAGAGCGGGGCCAGGCGCAGGACCCGGAGCCGGAGCCGGAGCCAGAGGGCGAGGAGCCGAGCCACGAAGAGGGCGGCGAGCACCGUGCCAGGCCCCGUGGUGAAGACCCUGGGUCACGCCAGCAGCAGCAAUGAAGUACAGGGGAGACGCCCCUAGCCCUCCAUCCCGCCCCUUCCAGCCAGCAGCAUCAGAGCCAGAGCGCAGCGGAAUGGAGCCCCUUCACGGGCUCAGCUUUUCAAAACCCAAGUGCGAAGAAGUGCGCUUGGAGUGUUUGCGAUGGUGCGGGAUCCGAGAUCUGCGCACAAGCCACAGGAACUUCUUAUUUUGUAGGGGGCUCCGCAGGUCCCGCUUGCUGUACAAGAUGUGGAUCCCAGACGAACCCACUGGACAUGAAGCUUUAGCCCUAUUUUUACAUUGUUAGGAGUUUGUCAUUUGCCUGGGUUCUGUAUUUUACGUUAUUGGGAUUAAACUUGCAGUGACUCCUUGAACCAUGCUCUCAGGUGGCACCCAUAGAAGUG